UAUACCUUAGUAUAGGAUGUAUUAGAGUUUUUGAUACUCUAGGGGCUGGCUUGAUUCCAGCAGGUGUAA
rnacentral:tRNA from 1 species